AACCAUCAAUAAGAGAACUACAUUUUACUGUAUUAGUAUUCAAGUUUUUGCUUUGCAUUUCUUCAAAGAGAUUCAUGGCUUCUCUUACGUAACCCAUUAAUCACGAUCAUA
rnacentral:miRNA from 1 species